UACAAAGGAAGUUGACGGGGCCCGGCACAAGCGGUGGAGCAUGUGGUUAAUUCGACGCAACGCGAAGAACCUUACCAGGGCUUGACAUCCCCUGACCGCGUAUGAAAGUACGUUUUCACCCUCGGGUGACAGGGAGACAGGUGGUGCAUGGUUGUCGUCAGCUCGUGUCGUGAGAUGUUGGGUUAAGUCCCGCAACGAGCGCAACCCCUACGUUUAGUUGCUAACAGGUGAAGCUGAGCACUCUAGACGAACUGCCGUUGACAAAACGGAGGAAGUGGGGAUGACGUCAAAUCAUCAUGCCCCUUAUGUUCUGGGCUACACACGUGCUACAAUGGCCGGUACAGACGGAGGCGAAGCCGCGAGGCGGAGCAAAUCCGAAAAAGCCGGUCUCAGUUCGGAUUGCAGGCUGCAAUUCGCCUGCAUGAAGUCGGAAUCGCUAGUAAUCGCAGGUCAGCAUACUGCGGUGAAUACGUUCCCGGGCCUU
rnacentral:rRNA from 1 species